rnacentral:rRNA from 1 species
UACGUAGGGGGCAAGCGUUGUCCGGAAUCAUUGGGCGUAAAGAGCGUGUAGGCGGCUCGGUAAGUCCGCUGUGAAAGUCCAGGGCUCAACCCUGGAAUGCCGGUGGAAACUGUCAAGCUAGAGUCCGGAAGAGGCGAGUGGAAUUCCUGGUGUAGCGGUGAAAUGCGCAGAUAUCAGGAGGAACACCAAUGGCGAGGGCAGCUCGCUGGGACGGUACUGACGCUGAGACGCGAAAGCGUGGGGAGCAAACAGG